AAUGCAAGUGAUGAGAAAAUAGACAGGGACAUCAGUACUCUAUCAGAGAAUGUUGACUCAGUCUUUGGGAAUCUCUCUGAUGCUUG